rnacentral:misc_RNA from 1 species
AAAGUCGUAACAAGGUCUCCGUAGGUGAACCUGCGGAGGGAUCAUUAACGAAUGGUCUCAGUACCUUCAAACCCCUCAAACCAGUGGACAUUUGAAAACGUGCUUCGGCGCUCCUGCGCCGCCUUUAUGCUGUAAAUCUGCCGUUUGUGUCUGAAUGCAAAAGGAAAAGAAAUCAAAACUUUCAACAAAGGAUCUCUUGGCUCUC